ACUCCAACUUGUGCCGCAGAUACAUGAAUGCGACGGAUAAACGAAACGAACGGUGAACGGCGACAAUUUCCUGUUCUCGGUUUACUCUUCUCCACACAACAACAAAACAAUAGAUUUGAGUAUUUGGCAACCCAAAUACUAUCAAUUCGCCUUACACGCACAACAAUGAUUUACGGUUAUCCUGCGAAGAGAGUGUUCGAGAGAGAGUGAGUGUGUGUGUGUGUGAAAUGAAAUGAAAACAAUGUGCUGAGAGCAUAAAAGCAAAUGUUGCGAGUGUGGUGAAAACAUUGGGGAAAUGACAAAUAAAAACCAAACGCCCUGGUGAAAUUUGAACUCUCUCUCUCUCUCUUUGAGAGCAAGGAAAAGGAGAGUUGGCUUCAUUUGUGAGCUGACUGUUUGACGGUGUCUGCUAUCUUCGUUGGGAGAAAUAGGACACAGGAUUGCGCCCUGAUCUGAAUGAUAACUGAUGCUUGUUCUUCUUCAAACCAGAUUCUUGGGUGGAUUAUUGUUACAUAAAAAAUAA
rnacentral:sRNA from 1 species